UUGCAGCCUGGCUUCCACGAAGCUUCCUAGCAAUAACGGAGGCAUUGGCGCAUUGCUUAGCCAGGACACGUCCGUCCACACGCAUACACACCACCAUUACUAGUGAAUCUCUCUGCUCACCACCACUACUCCUCCAUCAAACACCACCAGGCACCAGUCAUCUUGUGUAGCGGCCAGAAGAGAGGGAGAUGGCGGGCCUGGGCGUGGGCGUCGGGACGGGGGCGUUGGGCUCCGUCAUCGGCAAGCUUGCCACCUUGCUCGGCGACGAGUACACGAUGCUCAAGCGGGUGCGCAAGGACAUCGCCUUCCUCCAGCGCGAGCUCAGCCGGAUGCAGAUCCUGGUGGACACACUGGCGGACAUGGAAGAGCUCGACGAGCUGGCCAAGGACUGGAAGGGCAGCAUCCGCGACCUCAGCUAUGACAUGGAGGAGUGCAUCGACCGCUUCAUGCUCCGUCUCGGGAACGGCGACGCCAGGCCCAGGUUCGUGAAGAAGACAGCUCGCAGGCUCAAGACGCUCUUUGAGCGCCAUGGCAUCGGGUCCCAGAUCAAGGACCUCAAGGCCCGCGUCGCCGAGGAGCGUGAACGGAGGCAGAGGCUGAACCUCGACGAUUAUAUGGUAAAUCGAACAAGGCCCGUGGUAAUAGAUCCUCGGCUAGCUGCGUUCCAUGGGGUGGCCAAUGGCUCGGUGGCCAUUGACGACCGCAGGGACCAGGUUAUCUCUUGGUUGACGGCGGAGAGCGAGGAGCUGAAGAUGGUGGCUAUUGUUGGAGGUGGGGGGCUGGGAAAGACCACCCUCGCCAUGGAGACCUAUCGCAGGAUUGGAGGGGACUACCAGUGUCGAGCUUCGGUGUCGGUGUCGCGCACUCUUGAUCUCGAGAAGCUCUUGAAAGAUGUCUUGUCACAAAUCGAUGAAGCUGAAUUUAGUAAGUGCCAGUCGGAGAGGUGGGAGAAAGACCAGCUAAUCCGUCACAUCCAACUGAUCUUGACGGGAAAGAGGUACUUCCUUGUUAUUGACGAUUUAUGGAAAGUACAAGAUUGGGAAUUUAUCAAAGCAGCUUUUCCUGACAAUUAUAAUGGUAGCAGAAUAAUUGCUACUACACGCAUAGCCAAUGUAGCCAGGUCAUGUUGUUCCAACUCUCGUGGUCAGCUCUACCAAAUGCUACCUUUGAAUGAUGUUGAUUCCCGAAGAUUGUUCUUUAAGAGAAUUUUUGACUCAGAAAGUUUAUGCCCUCCUCAACUGGAAAAGGUUUCAGCUAGGAUCUUAAAAAAAUGUGGUGGUAUGCCGUUGGCUAUAAUUACCCUUGCGAGUUUGCUAGCCAAUAAACCUCCAAGCGCAGCUGAAUGGGAGAGACUCCAAGAUUCCAUUGGUGCUGGUCUUUCAUAUGAGAGUGAUGAUGGCGGAAAGGGUAUGGCACAUAUAUUGUUACUUAGUUAUUGGGAUCUCCCACACCACUUGAAGACCUGUUUGUUGUACUUUUGUAUAUAUCCAGAGGAUGCGGAAAUCUCAUGUGAAGAACUGAAAUGGAAAUGGAUAGCCGAAGGGUUUAUUGCUACAAAACAGGGGAAUUUGUAUCAAGAAGCAGAGAGUUGUUUUAAUGAACUUGUCAAUAGAAGCAUGAUCCAGAUAGUUGAUGUUGACAAUUUUGAAGAAACAUUCUGUCAGGUUCAUGAUACAGUGCUUGACCUCAUAAUUUCUCGCUCAGCUGAAGAGAAUUUUGCCACUGUUUUAAACGGUGUCUGCAAUUCGUUGCCAACCAAGAUCCGCCGACUCUCCCUGCAAUCUAGUGAGCUGGAACAGAAAUGGGCAAUCCAAGCUAUCACAAGAAGCAGGUUACAUGUUCGCUCAUUGAAUGUGUUUGGAGAAACAAAGGAGAUACCCCCACAUGUGGACUUCCCGUCUUUGCGUGUGUUUGAUAUAUGUCGGCGUUAUUCCUUGUGGGAAAACAACCUUAUAAUAAAUAUAGGAAGUUGGCCUCAACUGAGGUAUUUGAGAAUUCAACAUUCCGGAAUCACGGUGCUUCCAGAAGAUAUUGGAAAGCUACAGAACUUGGAAACACUUGAUUUGCGGGGCAGUUGUAUUAGAAAACUGCCAUCAACAAUAGCCCGGCUUCAGAAACUGGUGCGCCUAUUCAUUGACGAUAGUCAGUUUGUGUUUUCUGCUGAUAUGUUUGGGAGCAUGCAAGCCCUGGAGGAAGUGUCAGAUAUAUGGAAAAUUGAUAACGAGGAGAAAUUUUGGGAAGAGCUUGAACAUCUAACAAAAUUGAGAAAGAUCUCCAUGAGUAAUGUGUGCUAUUAUCCUGGGCAUUCUGAAUGCUAUAGAGAAAGACUGAGGUCAUCUCUAAAUAAGUUGGGUAAACAUAGCCUUCUGUAUCUUCGUACUAGCGGAGAAAUGGGAAACAUUAUAUUCAGGGAUCCAUGCUGCACCUUUCCGCACCUCCAACAUUUUAAACUGGAUUAUGACAUGGAAAGGGUUCCCAAGGGAAUGGCCUCCCUAAGCAACAUCCGGAAAUUGGAGAUAGCAGUCAGACAAUUUGAUGAGGAAGGUCUCCACAUUCUCAUGAGUAUGCCUUCCCUUGCCUAUCUCCAACUAACGGUAAGGUUUCGUGGCGUCAUGAGCCCCGUGACUAUUAGUAGUAACGGAUUCAAACUCCUAGAGGUGUUCCACUUCCACUGCAACACAUCAUACGGAGAACUGGGGAUAGAAUUUACAACAGGUGCUAUGCCAGCACUCCGACGGCUCCAUCUUUUCUGGCUGGCAUCGAUUGUUACGUUGAGGUCUAGUGAUGGUGCUUGCAUGGGCAUCCAGCAUCUUUCAAGCCUUGUGCAACUCCAGGUCGAAACUAAUUGUACUGGUGCAACCCUGGAGCAGGUGGAGGCCCUGGAGGGUCCCGUUGAAAAAGCAGUCACCUUGCAUCCCAACCGCCAGACUCUUCAGUUCCAUCUCCAUAGAAAAGAUGACCAUAUUAUAUUCGGGGACGACGAGGAGGAAAGGAAGAGGCAAGAAGACCAGGUGAUCUAAGCUACAUGUUUGUUUCUCUGCUGCCAUUUACCACGGCUCAGCAACUUGUCUCCGGAAUACUGAUACUUGUCACCUUAUAUCAUGAGAGCACCAUCGUUGACAGCUUCGGUUUGGUCAGGGCCGUUGAGGGGCAUAUUUUAUACAUAUUUUGGUGGAAGGCGUCAAAGCACUCAAGACAGAGGCAGCCCUUCCCUCCUUCCUUCCUGCAAGGCUUGGUUCAAAACAGAGUCUUCAGCCAAGGAUCUGAAAAUGUACACUUAAACUGAACGUUCGUGGUUUCAGGCUUUCAGUAUCAUCUCGUUUCCUGAUUUAACAACAGUAGUAUCUACUGUAGCAUCCAACCUUUUCCCGAUUAUAAGCGCUAGGUCUUCGUUGGUUCCAAAGAAACCAUAGGAGCCCCAAAAGGGGGGAGGCGUCGAGGAGGAGAAGAAGACACAAACCUCAAGAGAAGGAUGCAAAACUAUGACCUUAGUGUAAAAGCUAGGGUUGGCUGCGUUAAGCGUGUUACCUCUUGGCAGGGACGCCUUCGUGUUUAUAUAGACAAAAGGAUUACAAGAUAUGGCGCAGGUAGUUGGUUUGGUUAUCAACUUGUCCUCUACUCCAAGCUACGUAAAAGAUAGAGAUUAUCCUAGCCAACAACCUGCGCCUCAAUUCUAAUGUACACAAUACGUUACAUUGUCACGAUACAACUACGGCCCUACUCUUUUAACAUCCUCCCUCAAUCUUAACAUGUCAAGGUUCAGAUUGCGCUUGAAGGCCUGUAGUUGCUUCACU